GUGCUUUCUUUAAGGGAAAAGGUGAAAGUUCUCAAAAGAAAAAACAUCAUAUGCUGAGGUUGCUAAGAUUUACGGCACAACAUAUUCCUGUAGUGAGCUGCAUGCAAGGAAGAAGCCUGGUAGGAGUGAAAGGUUAAUAGCCAAGAAAGAAAGAAGGAAGAAGAAAACAGCUCCCCGUACAGAGACAGAGGAAGGGGGAAUUUGAACAAAGAAAAAACCCCGUGUGCGUCGGAAAAGUGGCUGCUUAUACGUAUCCUAAAU